GCCCCCGGCCCACCUUCCCGCCGGGCGCCCUCCGCCGGGCCUCCGCGGCGCCGGGGUCCAGAAGGACGCACAGGGUGGCGGGAGGGCCGGCGGGAUCCGGAACCCGGAGAACUCGCCCUGCCGAUUUCUUUUAUUUCUUAUUAGCGACCACGUUCUGUGCUCUUGGAACGACCUCUCGCCUUUGAACGUAGCCGGACUCCGUUAUUAGCGGUGCUCUACCGAGGCCUGGGGUUGCCCCACCGCGCCGAGCGCCAAUUUGGACGUCUACCCAGAUAUUUCCAACGAGCUGUGUUGAAUUGUGGAGUUCCGACUCUUUCCUCUGAAUCACUACGUCCUCUCCUCCCCAAGUUUUCAUUUCGCGCGUAUCUAACGUUCCUGACUUUUCUGAGUAACUGAGAACUAAAAUGGGCCCCAUUUUAGAAAUAUUGCACAAUAAUGCAUCUCUCCAAUACCUACCACCCCACCACCACCAGCCUCAACAAGUUUAUCAUUCUCCUCCAUGGAAGGGUGGAAAUGAAAAACCCUUGCAGAGAAACCUACGAGUCUACUUCCUUUGUUGGACACAGUUACAAUAAACUGAAACUGUCUAAGCUG